AUUGCUUCUCGACCUUCUCGCCAAAAUCAAGUGUAGUAUAUGUCCUUACCAGUUUACUAUCUAAAAUGUCCUGUAUCUGAGUGCAAUAUAUUACAUAGACUUUUGGAAAUAGGAGAUGAAAUAAAAAGAGCUUUUCUGGCCACUCCACACACUGACCUGGUAUUGUAAUACUUCGAGGAAUAGUAUACCCCCU